rnacentral:tRNA from 1 species
GGGAUAUAGCUCAGCUGGGAGAGCGCUGCGUUCGCAAUGCAGAGGUCGGGGGUUCGAAUCCCCCUAUCUCC